UACGGGCCAAAGAGGGGGACCUUCGGGCCUCUCGCGUCAGGAUAUGCCUAGGUGGGAUUAGCUAGUUGGUGAGGUAAGGGCUCACCAAGGCGACGAUCCCUAGCUGGUCUGAGAGGAUGAUCAGCCACACUGGAACUGAGACACGGUCCAGACUCCUACGGGAGGCAGCAGUGGGGAAUAUUGCACAAUGGGCGCAAGCCUGAUGCAGCCAUGCCGCGUGUAUGAAGAAGGCCUUCGGGUUGUAAAGUACUUUCAGUCGUGAGGAAGGCGGAGUCGUUAAUAGCGGCGUUGUUUGACGUUAGCGACAGAAGAAGCACCGGCUAACUCCGUGCCAGCAGCCGCGGUAAUACGGAGGGUGCGAGCGUUAAUCGGAAUUACUGGGCGUAAAGCGCAUGCAGGUGGUUUGUUAAGUCAGAUGUGAAAGCCCGGGGCUCAACCUCGGAAUAGCAUUUGAAACUGGCAGACUAGAGUACUGUAGAGGGGGGUAGAAUUUCAGGUGUAGCGGUGAAAUGCGUAGAGAUCUGAAGGAAUACCGGUGGCGAAGGCGGCCCCCUGGACAG
rnacentral:rRNA from 1 species